rnacentral:rRNA from 1 species
UAGAGUUUGAUCAUGGCUCAGGAUGAACGCUAGCGACAGGCUUAACACAUGCAAGUCGAGGGGCAGCGGGGAGGUAGCAAUACUUCCGCCGGCGACCGGCGCACGGGUGAGUAACACGUAUGGAACCUGCCCGUAGCAGGGGGAUAAACGGAAGAAAUUCCGUCUAAUACCGCGUAAUAACUCCGAGAGGCAUCUCAUGGAGUUUAAAGGGUAACACCGGCUACGGAUGGCCAUGCGGCGCAUUAGCUAGUUGGCGGGGUAACGGCCCACCAAGGCGACGAUGCGUAGGGGUUCUGAGAGGAAGGUCCCCCACACUGGUACUGAGACACGGACCAGACUCCUACGGGAGGCAGCAGUGAGGAAUAUUGGUCAAUGGGCGCGAGCCUGAACCAGCCAAGUCGCGUGAGGGAAGACGGUCCUAUGGAUUGUAAACCUCUUUUGUCGGGGAGCAAAAGACGCCACGUGUGGCGUUCCGAGAGUACCCGAAGAAAAAGCAUCGGCUAACUCCGUGCCAGCAGCCGCGGUAAUACGGAGGAUGCGAGCGUUAUCCGGAUUUAUUGGGUUUAAAGGGUGCGCAGGCGGAAGAUCAAGUCAGCGGUAAAAUUGAGAGGCUCAACCUCUUCGAGCCGUUGAAACUGGUUUUCUUGAGUGAGCGAGAAGUAUGCGGAAUGCGUGGUGUAGCGGUGAAAUGCAUAGAUAUCACGCAGAACUCCGAUUGCGAAGGCAGCAUACCGGCGCUCAACUGACGCUCAUGCACGAAAGUGUGGGUAUCGAACAGGAUUAGAUACCCUGGUAGUCCACACAGUAAACGAUGAAUACUAAUUGUUCGGGGAGAAUGAUCCCUGAGUGAUACAGCGAAAGCGUUAAGUAUUCCACCUGGGGAGUACGCCGGCAACGGUGAAACUCAAAGGAAUUGACGGGGGCCCGCACAAGCGGAGGAACAUGUGGUUUAAUUCGAUGAUACGCGAGGAACCUUACCCGGGCUCAAACGACACAGGAAUACUUUUGAAAGGAGGUAGCUCUACGGAGUCUGUGUCGAGGUGCUGCAUGGUUGUCGUCAGCUCGUGCCGUGAGGUGUCGGCUUAAGUGCCAUAACGAGCGCAACCCCCAUCGCCAGUUACCAGCAAGUCAAGUUGGGGACUCUGGCGAGACUGCCGGCGCAAGCUGUGAGGAAGGCGGGGAUGACGUCAAAUCAGCACGGCCCUUACGUCCGGGGCGACACACGUGUUACAAUGGCAGGUACAGAGAGAAGCAAUGCGGCGACGCAAAGCGGAACUUGAAAGCCUGUCUCAGUUCGGAUUGGAGUCUGCAACUCGACUCCAUGAAGCUGGAUUCGCUAGUAAUCGCGCAUCAGCCAUGGCGCGGUGAAUACGUUCCCGGGCCUUGUACACACCGCCCGUCAAGCCAUGGAAGCCGGGAGUGCCUGAAGUGUGCAACCGCAAGGAGCGCCCUAAGGUAAAAUCUGGUGACUGGGGCUAAGUCGUAACAAGGUAGCCGUAA